UGGGGAAUCUUGGACAAUGGGGGCAACCCUGAUCCAGCCAUGCCGCGUGAGUGAUGAAGGCCUUAGGGUCGUAAAGCUCUUUCGCCGGUGAAGAUAAUGACGGUAGCCGGAGAAGAAGCCCCGGCUAACUCCGUGCCAGCAGCCGCGGUAAUACGGAGGGGGCUAGCGUUGUUCGGAAUUACUGGGCGUAAAGCGCACGUAGGCGGACCAGAAAGUUGGGGGUGAAAUCCCGGGGGCUCAACCCCGGAACUGCCUCCAAAACUAUUGGUCUAGAGUUCGAGAGAGGUGAGUGGAAUUCCAAGUGUAGAGGUGAAAUUCGUAGAUAUUUGGAGGAACACCAGUGGCGAAGGCGGCUCACUGGCUCGAUACUGACGCUGAGGUGCGAAAGUGUGGGGAGCAAACAGGAUUAGAUACCCUGGGUAGUCCACACCGUAAAACGAUGAAUGCCAGUCGUCGGGUAGCAUGCUAUUCGGUGACACACCUAACGGAUUAAGCAUUCC
rnacentral:rRNA from 1 species